GGGGGCCACAUCCCAGGAGGUUGACAUAUUUUUCAGCACUGCCUGACCUUUCACCUCUUCUAUGACCCCCAAGCAUCUCAGUAGGAGACUCCCGGCCCGAAGGGGGUGAAGAGGAGGAUCGGAAGGUUUACUGUGACAAUGUCAGCACUUAAAUAUAGGGGUUUAAAAGUGAAACAUUCAGCCUGGGCAUUGGGAAGAUCCUAUAUGACACAACGGGAGAGCAGUCUAGGGGGAGUGUCUUAAAGCCCAACUGGUUAGGAUUGUGAAGAUGAUUCUGACAGAGAUGGGAGUGUUGAUUGGAGACAGCACACUCAGGUUUUUUGGAUAGAAACGUCAGGAGGCGUGUAUUGACUCUGGCCAUCCUAAAGUCUUAGGGGACAAAGCCUAUAGUCAGUGAUGGGUUGAAAAGGGAAGGGAGGAAUGGGAGGUAAGUAGAAAGGAAGAGCAGCUAGCGAUGGAGUGAUCCUGUUCUGUGAGUCAUUUUGCCGGGGAGUAGGAGGUGAGGAGACCGGCCAUGAGGAAACAGGACAAUGAGAGUCAAUAUGUGAUUGUAGCAGUGCAUGGGCCGCCUAGGUGAGGUUGAAGGAGAGAUCACAGACCUGGCGGGGAGUUGCAGUGAGGUUAGUCAAGUGACAGCAUCUAGUGAGGAAAAGAUCAAACACAUUGCCUUCCUAGCGAGUGGGAGGGGACUGAGAAAGGGCGAGAAAGAUAUAUCUCGAUAGAAAGAAAUGGAAGAUCUAGGGAGGUUGAGGUAGCACUGUGAUUUAACUGGUGAGUCAUCAUCAGGAAAUCAUCUUAUCGAGGUGUCAAACAUAUUAAGGUCUCCCGUUUACUGAUAUACUCUAUAUAUUUUUCCCUGAUGUGCAAAAAAAUACAUUUAACAUACUUAACAUAACACUCAGAACAGAAAAAGGGGCACAUUUACACGCUUAUCAAGAGACACACCUGGUCAUCGUUACUGCCUCUGAUGGACUCACUAAACACAAAAUGUUCCAUCUAAUUUGCUUAAUAUAUGAAAUUUGAAAUUAUUCAUAAUCUCUUACUUCAUUUGUUGUACUCUAUUGGUAUUUACAUUCUCUUUCACUUGAGUCAAAUUUAUUUGAGUUAUCUUAACUUUCAUUACUCAAGUACAAUACAUAGGUUCUUUCAUGAGUCCAUCUCUGGGGACAUAAGGUAUGCUUGGCUCUAGAUACCAAGGGAUUAACCUGGAGAGACCAUUCAGGCAUCUGGAUAACAGGUGACCAGAAGAGAAGCUCUCUACUGUGGAUGCUAUGUGAGAGAGAGAGCACUACAUGCUGCUAUGAUGGUGAUGUGGAAGUGGAUGCUUCAGGCUGCAUGCUAAGUCUACAUGCUAAGUUAUGUGACUAAGAUCAAAAGAGAUCAGUCGCGACCACAACCAUUUUUGUGAAUUAUCUAAUUCAUUUGAUCAGUUUGCUUGAUAACUUUGGACUGAUUUCAAUAAGAGGCACGGCGUGUGGCCACAGAAUUCUCCUCUUGAAUCACUACAUGCUGUGGAGUAGACACUGCCCGCUGAUGAGUCGGUGUGAUUAUUCUGAGAUUCUAUGAAAUAUAGUGAGUGGGAUGUCCUAUUUAUUUGAUACCUUGCUAGAUAAAUUGACCAUAAGUUUGUAAUUCAUCCAACAGUGAUUCACAAUGACUCAGAGUUUAUAAAAUACAUUUAGAAUUCCCUUUUUGGAGGUUACAGGUCAAAUGAAGAGUAUAAAACAUGUGAGUUCACCAAAAUGUUUCAAAGGUAUCAAAUUCUCCCAAAGAUGUACAAGGCACAUUUGAUUGGUUAUGUCAUACUGGCUGCUGCUGGAUACAUUGUUGAUGGUAAAAUGGAAUGUCUCCAAAACAUGCAGCAUGUGGCAUAUAAUUCAAUCAUGCCAGAACAUAUGAUGGUAAAUCAACAUUUUUAAAGGCUUGUGUCUUUGAGUGUAUUAAUUAUCUCUUUGGUAUUGCAUGCUGCAUAUUGACCCUGAGGUUUCCCAUAACACUAGCAUCUUUCACAGAGCAAUAGUUCUAAAUGUGAGAUGAAAAAGAAGAACCGGGUAUGCCCUUAAAACACUCUCUGACUUAAUUUAGACUCAAUGUUUUUCUUUUUUAUUUACUUACAUCAACACAUGAGCCAUUUAACAUGAUCCAUUUAACCUCCCUCUGCAGGCACCAGCGUGCAUUUUGGAAGGGUCUGAGUGCCCUACUGAUGAUGAAGAAAUUGAGAAGAGAUUGAGGGGAAUACUGUGUAGAAUGGGAUAUCCUUUAAAAUCACCAUCAGUAGGAAAGUGUGACCAUCAGAAGGCAAAAGAGCCAAAACUGUGCCGACUCAUCCGAUGCUGGA